rnacentral:tRNA from 1 species
GCGCCCAUAGCUCAACUGGAUAGAGCGAUAGACUACGGAUCUAUAGGCUGGGGGUUCGAAUCCUCCUGGGCGCACCA